AAAAAAAUAACAAAACACCCAAUACAAUCAAUAUCAUUGUCGAUAGGCGAAAGGAUUAUGGCAGCCGCGGGGGUCUUUCUCUAUGAUUCGAUGUUCGCUUAUCGAUGCGUGUUAAUAACCUCACUCGUCUGCCUUAUGGUAUGCGGGGAAUCGUUUGCGGUGGAUUACACUGUUCGCUAUUUGUGGUGAGUAUCAUCGAAUGAAAGCGCAUCAUUUUACACCAAACACCCUCCCAAAUAAGAACAUUCCACUUGAAGCACCUUCGCAACAUCAAAAGAAACGGUACAUGCGGACACCGGGACAGAACAGAAUCAGCACAAAAAUGCCCCACUCCACAGAGGGGUAGUGGGUGAAACGUGGUAUGUGAAACGUGCACGAGCCCAACCGGAAAGUAUAAUGUUUCCGUUACUGUGGUGGUGGCGUCGGCGGCGUGCCGUGUGUGUUGCAAUGCAUUCGUGAAAACAGAACACUGUGCCGAAAUGGCAAUUACAGAACAACACCUCGAACGAGAGCUUGGAGCAUACAACCAGACAGGCGCCAGCUGCGAGCGGGGGAAAAAACAGACACAAACUGAGGAAGCUCACCCAAAGCUCAAGGCCAAAUUCCAUCAGCACCAGGCAGGAAAAACUGAUUGAAAAAUGCGCACCGAAACGCGCUGAGGAGAAGUAACAGCGCCCGGCAACAUCAUCGCCGAAUCAGCGUCGAUCAACCAAUUGCUCGAUUAUUAAUGGCACCGUAACCUAAAUAGCGCCGGCUUCAGUACACCGUGUGCGACCAUUUCUUUCUAUGUUCGAUCGCUCGCCAAACGAACGCUUGACAAAUGAAACGUGUAUGUACAGCGUAUGUGUACAGCAUAAAUCCAACACACGAACACACAUACCAGGUGGUGUUGGUAUUUAAUUUUACCCCAAAAUGUUACCCCUUGUUUCUUCCAUCUCCCCUUCAGUGGUCAGAGCCAACAUGUGAAGCAUGUUUGGCAAAGCGUCUGGUGUGAAUUAUGCUUUUGGCUGGCGUAACGACUAGACGACGACGACGGGGACCGGGGCUGGCUGGCUGGCUGGCUUGUAAUUCUAGUAUCUCGGUCUAAAUUGGACUCCGAGGUUUGCAAAAGGGUGGUUGUUUUGGGGGGGUGUGCGCAUGAAACAGCAUUACCAUUAUAUCAUCAGUCCGGCAAACGGCUGGGAUUUGGUAAAAUCGAAGCCUAAUGAGCCGCUUAAAGGUAAGCUUUUACAAUAAAUAAAUAAAUAGAUUGAUUCAUAACGCUCAUCCAUAAUAUUAGUAAUGCAUCGGAGCAAGCGUUGUGUUGGGGAGGGAAGUUGGUGUGAAAAAUUACCCAUUUAUGGAAAUAAUUAAAUCACAGGAAGACGGCGAUUCCAAUUAGAAUUAUAUUGAUUGCAAGCGUAUUAGAAAAUGUUGUUGCUUAUAUAUGAUUUUCAUACAGAUACAUGACAAAGGUUGACGUACAUACAAUUUUUUGAAUAAAACAAAAAACAUUAUAAU